rnacentral:misc_RNA from 1 species
AAGUCGUAACAAGGUUUCCGUAGGUGAACCUGCGGAAGGAUCAUUAACAAAUUCACCAAAAUAUGGAGAAUUUAAAAAAAAAUCCAUACCCACCUUUUUAUGUGCACCGUAAAUGUUUAUAACUUUUGGUAGACACUUUUUAUUUCAUAAGAGGGUGUCUGCCAAAAGUUUUUUACUCCUUUCCCUUAAUAAAAAGGAAGGUAAAAAAAAAUAAAUAAACGCGUCUAAAUAAUUGUCUGAAAAUUUCAAAAAACAAAAUAAAAUUUGAAAAUAUAACAACUUUCAGCAACGGAUCUCUAGGCUCUU